UUAGGUUCUUGCACAUUGUUAACUGCAACAGUAGGAAUAAAAGGACCAUGCACAACAGCUUCCCAAAUAUCACUAUCAACAAAUUUAAUAAAUAUAUGCAUUUUGACUUUCCAGAACACGUAAUUUUCACUAGUAAAUAAUGAGGGUCUGUUAAUGGAAGCACCAUCCACAAAAUUUUUAUAUUGUCCCGCCAUUUGAAUCACUAUCAAAGCAAACUCUAACACCAAUUGUCAUAGCUAUAAAUCAAAAUGAUUGGCAUGGCACAAAUAACCAACACUACAGUAAAAGCGCGUAUUACCGAAGGCUUAUUACCGACGGCCUUUAAUCCUUCGGUAAUGUAUUGAUGAAAUUAAAUAUCGAGGGCUUUUGCCCUUCGGUAAUGUUUGAUGCCUCAUCAUAUGCGAACCACAUCUUCAUCCAACCAUUCUCUCGAGAGAUCCACCCGCACACAUCUCUUUUUCUUUCGAACCUCCGCUUGUCUUCGAUCCAUAUUUUGAGUUUCUCUACCUCAAAUCUUCAUCCACCGAUUAAACUUAUCUUCACUAAUCUAUCUUCACUUUUGCCUGAUUAAAACCUCUUUUCAUUCCAUUCCAUCGAUUCAAUCAUGGAAUCCUUUCUCUCCACCGAUCAAAACGUCCCAAAUCCACAACCCUAGAAUCUACACCGAUCAAACCACUCAUUCUAGGGUUUGCCUCCGUUGUCCAUCAUCUAAUGUUCUUCUUCUUCGAUUUGCUCGAUCUGUGACAGUUUCCAUGGUUCCUAUCGAUCUGCCUCGACCUGGAGCUAUCAAGUGGUAUUCAAAGCCUAGGUUAGGCGCAUCUGCACGAAGCUAAGUAUUUUCUUUGCCUUUCCAUGUUGUCUUCGAUUAAUUGUCUUGAUCUGUUUUGGUCUUGUAUUGAUUCAAUCUGUGCGUUGGUCGUUCUCCAUUUUCUGUGUUGUAAAUCUGUUUCGAGUCGUUUGUCUUGAGUGUUUGUUUUCACUGUUAUGAGUUUCGUGUUUAGGAUUAUAUAAUUUUGUGUAUGUGCGUUUUGUGUGCUUUGAGUCAAUGUUUCAUCAUUUUAAAUCGGUGCAUUCUAUUUUUGACUCAAAUGUUCUUUUCAAAUCCAAGUUCAGUUUUGUCUAAUGGUCAUGUGUUGAGUAAUUAGCUGAUGCAGUUUCUUCAAUUGUGCUAAAAUCAUUGUCAAUAUGCUUUGAAACUGUGUUGGUCUGAUUCAGUGAUUUACGUUUGCCUUAUAUCAACCAAAGAAAGGCAGUGAGAUGAUAAAUCUAGCCUUGGUGAUGUGAGCCAGUGCAUAUGCACAAAUUUGUAGGUCCCAGCAGACAUGGUGGUGAAUGCUAUGCUAAUGGCCAUGGUGGCUCAUGCAAAGCAGCCAAGUGAUAUCAUAUACCACGUGGGUUCCUCUGUUAGAAAUCCACUCACGUACAAAAAAUCUUUACGGGCGUAUUUGAUGAUAUGAACACAGAGAAGUUGAGAAUGACAGCAAAACAAAGUGGGACAGAGACAAAUCCGUUUUACUUUGAAACAAAAGAUAUUAAUUGGGAUGAUUACUUUAUGAAGACCCAUAUUCCUGGAAUUGUCAAGUACAUUUUCAAGUGAUGUUCUACUUAUAGAUUUAGGAUUGAUGAGAAUUGGAAAACUUUUGCAGCAGGUUACAAUUGAGAGUAAUCAGACACCAAUUGAACAACAAGACCGAGAAAGGAAAGUUCUUAUUGUCUUAUAUCUUUUUGUACAAUCUGUUUUAGCUAUAAGGGAAUAUUGAUCGAAGCUUUGCUCAUAUGGCUUGUAGGAUUGGACAAAAGAUAGAAGCUUGAAGUUGUCAAGAAGCAAUAGUGGAGGCACGUGAAUACUUCAGUAGAAGUCGAUCUGGACUGUGGCCGUAACUGAACUAGUACCAGACCGUAGCAUAGGAUUGAUUGGGUUAUUUUGUUUUGUUUUUGUGUAAUUUUGAUUUGUAAUAGGCUUGUAUUAGCCUAUUGUAGUUUUAGCUUUGUUUUGGAAGCAAGU